rnacentral:ncRNA from 1 species
GUGUUCGUUGAGCCGAGAGACGGUUAGCAUCUCCCUCGACAAGGACGAGACUACCUCCGGGUAUCAAAGUCAGUUCAAGCUGUGUCACAAAGACACUCGAGUUUUUU